GACGAACGCUGGCGGCGUGCCUAACACAUGCAAGUCGAGCGGUCCGACAUUUAACAUUGAGUAUUCAGUACGAGUUGGCAGAUGAGCCAGCGUCAGGCAGAAAGAUACUUGAGAUCAGAUCAGGUUUUUUGCUUCACGCCAUAUCAAGUGCCGACGCAAAGGCGGACUGAGUAUUGAAUGUUGAAUGUCGGAUAGCGGCGGACGGGUGAGUAACGCGUGGGCAACCUGCCUUUCACAGGGGGAUAACACAGGGAAACUUGUGCUAAUACCGCAUAACAUCAUGUGGGGCAUCUCAUGUGAUCAAAGGAGCAAUCCGGUGAAAGAUGGGCCCGCGUCCAAUUAGCUAGUUGGUGAGGUAAUGGCUCACCAAGGCGACGAUUGGUAGCCGAACUGAGAGGUUGAUCGGCCACAUUGGGACUGAGACACGGCCCAGACCUCCGUACGGGAGCAGCAGUGGGAAUAGUGGAC
rnacentral:rRNA from 1 species